rnacentral:rRNA from 1 species
AUCCUACGGGAGGCAGCAGUGGGGAAUAUUGCACAAUGGGGGAAACCCUGAUGCAGCGACGCCGCGUGAGUGAAGAAGUAUUUCGGUACGUAAAGCUCUAUCAGCAGGGAAGAAAAUGACGGUACCUGACUAAGAAGCCCCGGCUAACUACGUGCCAGCAGCCGCGGUAAUACGGAGGAUGCGAGCGUUAUCCGGAUUUAUUGGGUUUAAAGGGUGCGCAGGCGGCCUGUUAAGUCAGCGGUAAAAGCCCGGGGCUCAACCCCGGCGAGCCGUUGAAACUGGCGGGCUGGAGUUGGAGAGAAGGA